CUUGCAUCAAUGCAGUGCAAAUUUGACUUAAAGAGCCAUUUUGUGUGCGGGGAUCGAUAUACGAUAAAAGGUGACGCCGUGGUUAUCAGUAAUUCUUGUUGCUUGUAUUUGAUUUGAACGUUGCGAAUGUAAUGCAUUAGUAGCGGAAUUAAUCAUGAAUAAGAUGCCAAGAUAUCCCUCCGACUGUAAAGUCUACGUGGGGGAUUUAGGAAGUAGCGCAACCAAACAAGAAUUGGAGGACGCCUUUUCUUACUACGGACCUUUGAAAAACGUUUGGGUUGCAAGAAACCCGCCAGGUUUUGCUUUCGUCGAGUUUGAGGAUGCUAGAGAUGCGGAGGAUGCAGUCAAAGGAUUAGACGGGCGUACUAUAUGCGGGAGAAGAGCAAGAGUUGAACCGUCGAAUGGAAAGAGGUUAAGAGACAGGGGUCCAUCGAGGCGAGGAGGAGGAGGAGCUACUGCAAGACCUUUCCACCCCGAAGAUCGGUGUUACGAGUGUGGAGAUCGAGGCCACUAUGCAAGAGAUUGUUCUAAGCACAGGAGCUCUCGCAGGAAAAGGAGAUGCGGCUGAACAGCGUAUACACGCAUGUGAAAUGCGUGUCUACUGAGAUUCUCGCGAGAUUCGGCUUGGGUUCACUUUGUGACACACUGCGUAGUUACAGCGUAGAGAGCACCCACCUACUUUGGGUUUACCUUCUGCACUCUGCGAACGUGAGAGAGCCGGCGUACGCGAGAGAGAGACCGACGGAGUGGCUAGUUCGUUCUGCUACUGCACUUCGGUACUAGCGACAUCACUGACAUCACCCUAUGACAGAGAGCUAGCUACGAACUACGGGUUUCUGCAUUCGGUCACCCUGGUACCGACUGGUACUCUAAUAUCUACCUGAGUGUCCGACCGACUUUGAGCUGUCCAAGCAGUGUUUAGCCACUCUUCGUUCGUCGUCUGACCCUCGCGCUCGAUUUCAUCUGCAUAAGUCUUCGUCACUCCGAACUCCCCUUGCGCGUACUUCCACAGCCUUCCACUUCUGUAAGGCAGCCACCGUUACAUAUGGUCUCGCUCCAGGUCUCGUUCGCGCUCUCGGUCUCGAUCACGAUCACGAUCCAGGAACAAGUACUCCAGAUCUCGCUCUUCGUCUCGCAGCCGUUCACGAAGCAGAAGCAGGCACAACAAUCGUAAGUCGCGCAGCAA
rnacentral:misc_RNA from 1 species